UCAGACAAAUAAUGGAUCUUUAGCUGUGUUUCUUCCAACUGCAUGAAAACUCAGGCAUUCAUAUAACAAGCACUGGACAAUGAGGAGAACUGCUUCAGUACUGGAGACAGGAAUUUGGAGUGCUCCUUUGUACAAGUAUGUACCACCCUGUCAAAGACAUAUCACCCAGCCGGAAAUGCCAGAAGUCAAGUGCAGCACCUCUUCUCAAAUCUAUUGCCUCAGGAUGAGGAGGCUGAAUUAGUAAUGUAGUGAUCUGUGCUGACUUAAGCAGACUCCUGUAGCUGCUUUUCCUGGCUCUCUGUGCCCACUCUCUCUAGAGGCUCUCAAAGUGCAAGGAUAAAGAAUCAUGAAGGUUGGAAAAGACCUUCAAGAUCAUCUGGUCCAACCAUCUCCCUACUACCAAUGUCACCCACUAAACCAUGUCCCUAAGCACCAUGUCCAACCUUUCCUUAAACACCCCUAGGAACGGUGACUCCAUCAUCUCCCAGGGCAACCCAUUUCAAUGCCUGACUACUCUUUCUG